rnacentral:rRNA from 1 species
AUUGAACGCUGGCGGCAGGCUUAACACAUGCAAGUCGAGCGGAGAGAGGUAGCUUGCUACUGAUCUUAGCGGCGGACGGGUGAGUAAUGCUUAGGAAUCUGCCUAUUAGUGGGGGACAACAUUUCGAAAGGAAUGCUAAUACCGCAUACGUCCUACGGGAGAAAGCAGGGGAUCUUCGGACCUUGCGCUAAUAGAUGAGCCUAAGUCGGAUUAGCUAGUUGGUGGGGUAAAGGCCUACCAAGGCGACGAUCUGUAGCGGGUCUGAGAGGAUGAGCCGCCACGCUGGGACUGAGACACGGCCCAGACUCCUACGGGAGGCAGCAGUGGGGAAUAGUGGACAAUGGGCGCAAGCCUGGUCCAGCCAUGCCGCGUGUGUGAAGAAGGCCUUAUGGUUGUAAAGCACUUUAAGCGAGGAGGAGGCUACUUUAGAUAAUACCUAGAGAUAGUGGACGUUACUCGCAGAAUAAGCACCGGCUAACUCUGUGCCAGCCGCCGCAGUAACAC